rnacentral:rRNA from 1 species
CAGCAGCCGCGGUAAUACGGAGGGUGCAAGCGUUAUCCGGAUUUAUUGGGUUUAAAGGGUCCGUAGGCGGAUCUGUAAGUCAGUGGUGAAAUCUCACAGCUUAACUGUGAAACUGCCAUUGAUACUGCAGGUCUUGAGUAAAUUUGAAGUGGCUGGAAUAAGUAGUGUAGCGGUGAAAUGCAUAGAUAUUACUUAGAACACCAAUUGCGAAGGCAGGUCACUAAGAUUUAACUGACGCUGAUGGACGAAAGCGUGGGGAGCGAACAGGAUUAGAGACCCCAGUAGUCCCUGUCUCUUAUAC